ACGAUCGGUAGCCGGACUGAGAGGUUGAACGGCCACAUUGGGACUGAGACACGGCCCAGACUCCUACGGGAGGCAGCAGUGGGGAAUAUUGCACAAUGGGGGAAACCCUGAUGCAGCGACGCCGCGUGGAGGAAGAAGGUCUUCGGAUUGUAAACUCCUGUUGUUGGGGAAGAUAAUGACGGUACCCAACAAGGAAGUGACGGCUAACUACGUGCCAGCAGCCGCGGUAAAACGUAGGUCACAAGCGUUGUCCGGAAUUACUGGGUGUAAAGGGAGCGCAGGCGGGAAGACAAGUUGGAAGUGAAAUCUAUGGGCUCAACCCAUAAACUGCUUUCAAAACUGUUUUUCUUGAGUAGUGCAGAGGUAGGCGGAAUUCCCGGUGUAACGGUGGAAUGCGUAGAUAUCGGGAGGAACACCAGUGGCGAAGGCGGCCUACUGGGCACCAACUGACGCUGAGGCUCGAAAGUGUGGGUAGCAAACAGAAUUAGAUACCCUGGUAGUCCACACCGUAAACGAUGAUUAGUAGGGUGUUGGAGGAUUGACCCCCUUCAGUGCCGCAGUUAACACAAUAAAUAAUCCACCUGGGGAGUACGACCGCAAGGUUGAAACUCAAAGGAAUUGACGGGGGCCCGCACAAGCAGUGGAGUAUGUGGUUUAAUUCGACGCAACGCGAAGAACCUUACCAAGUCUUGACAUCCCUUGACAGGCAUAGAAAUAUGUUUUCUCUUCGGAGCAAGGAGACAGGUGGUGCAUGGUUGUCGUCAGCUCGUGUCGUGAGAUGUUGGGUUAAGUCCCGCAACGAGCGCAACCCUUAUGGUCAGUUACUACGCAAGAGGACUCUGGCCAGACUGCCGUUGACAAAACGGAGGAAGGUGGGGAUGACGUCAAAUCAUCAUGCCCUUUAUGACUUGGGCUACACACGUACUACAAUGGCGUUAAACAAAGAGAAGCAAGACCGCGAGGUGGAGCAAAACUCAGAAACAACGUCCCAGUUCGGACUGCAGGCUGCAACUCGCCUGCACGAAGUCGGAAUUGCUAGUAAUCGUGGAUCAGCAUGCCACGGUGAAUACGUUCCCGGGCCUUGCACUCACCGCCCGUCA
rnacentral:rRNA from 1 species